UGCCUGGCUACUUAGAGGACGACAUCCCAGAGGGUGCCUGGCUACUUAGAGGACAACAUCACAGAGGGUGCCUGGCUUCCAAAGAAGUGUUCCUGUCUCCAUGGUGGAUGAGAAGAUGUGUUUCUGUCUAAUUGAUGUAGCUGUGACCUUUGUACUAUCUGCCAAUGUCAAAGGGCCAAGAUGACAUCAGAUGGGUGCCUGGCUACACAGAGAUGUGUUCCUGUCUCCAAUAUGGAUGAGAGGAUGUGUUGCAGGCUAACGGAUGAAACAACAGAAUAGCUGGAUGAACACUGUCGAACAACCUUGAGUUGGUCACGCCAAGAUGCUGAGCCACCUUAUGCAUGUACCAAUACAACUCUUGCUUCACCACCGCUUUGGUAAAGGACUGUUUCUUCUUGACGACUGCCCUCAUCUAAGGCUGUAUCGAAAUUGGUGUCUACAGCUUCGACUGUUACUAAGGAUCGACGUACUAAUGAUCCCAUGAGUUGACUUUCCAAGAGCAUGUGAACAACAAUGAACAAUUAUUUUGAAAUUGUCAUUGCGGAAAAUGACAACAAGGUGUCAUGACAACAAAUGGAAACAUUGUACAACAGAAUGGACCCCAAGAGCACAAACGAGACGAAGAGGCAGUAACUCAGAAAAUUUGGAAGGGUCACAUGGAUGAGACAAGCAUAAGAACAGUCAAGGUGGAAUAGUGAUGAAGUGGCCUUCCUUCUGCAGUGGAGCGACAUAGGCUAGACAUAUGGAUCUUUUGGUAUAUAAAGUAACGCACACAAUUCUUGUCGACAUACUUGUAAUGAGGUACUUCAUUACAAGUAUGUCGACAGAAUACAUGUUAACUUGUUACAAGGUACUUCCUUAAUACAAGUUCAUGUAUUCACAAACAAUAAUUGCAUGUUUGUAAUGAGGUACUUCAUUACACUCGUGCAAUUAAAACAUGCUUGCAAUGAAGUACCUCAUUGCAAGUAUGUAAAAGUUUCAUGCGCGUAAUGAAGUACCGCAUUACAAACAUGAAACAAGUAACGUUAAUUUGUAAUGCAAUGUGCUCAUUACAAAGUACGAACCAACAU